AUUGAACGCUGGCGGCAUGCCUUACACAUGCAAGUCGAACGGUAACAGGUCUUCGGAUGCUGACGAGUGGCGAACGGGUGAGUAAUACAUCGGAACGUGCCCGAUCGUGGGGGUAACGGAACCGAAAGCUUUGUUAAUACGGCUUAGGAUCUACGGUGGAAACCGGGGGACCGAAAGCCCUUGCGCGAACGGGCCGGCCGAUGGCAGAUUAGGUAGUUGGUGGGAUAAAAGCUUACCAAGCCGACGAUCUGUAGCUGGUCUGAGAGGACGACCAGCCACACUGGGACUGAGACACGGCCCAGACUCCUACGGGAGGCAGCAGUGGGGAAUUUUGGACAAUGGGCGAAAGCCUGAUCCAGCCAUGCCGCGUGCAGGAUGAAGGCCUUCGGGUUGUAAACUGCUUUUGUACGGAACGAAAAGACUCUGGUUAAUACCUGGGGUCCAUGACGGUACCGUAAGAAUAAGCACCGGCUAACUACGUG
rnacentral:rRNA from 1 species